rnacentral:rRNA from 1 species
AUUGAACGCUGGCGGCAGGCCUAACACAUGCAAGUCGAACGGUAACAGGAAGAAGCUUGCUUCUUUGCUGACGAGUGGCGGACGGGUGAGUAAUGUCUGGGAAACUGCCUGAUGGAGGGGGAUAACUACUGGAAACGGUAGCUAAUACCGCAUAACGUCGCAAGACCAAAGAGGGGGACCUUCGGGCCUCUUGCCAUCGGAUGUGCCCAGAUGGGAUUAGCUAGUAGGUGGGGUAACGGCUCACCUAGGCGACGAUCCCUAGCUGGUCUGAGAGGAUGACCAGCCACACUGGAACUGAGACACGGUCCAGACUCCUACGGGAGGCAGCAGUGGGGAAUAUUGCACAAUGGGCGCAAGCCUGAUGCAGCCAUGCCGCGUGUAUGAAGAAGGCCUUCGGGUUGUAAAGUACUUUCAGCGGGGAGGAAGGGAGUAAAGUUAAUACCGUUGCUCAUUGACGUUACCCGCAGAAGAAGCACCGGCUAACUCCGUG